UAAUGCUUGGGAAUCUGGCUUAUGGAGAGGGAUAACGACGGGAAACUGUCGCUAAUACCGCGUAUUAUCGGAAGAUGAAAGUGCGGGACUGAGAGGCCGCAUGCCAUAGGAUGAGCCCAAGUGGGAUUAGGUAGUUGGUGGGGUAAAGGCCUACCAAGCCUGCGAUCUCUAGCUGGUCUGAGAGGAUGACCAGCCACACUGGAACUGAGACACGGUCUAG
rnacentral:rRNA from 1 species